rnacentral:lncRNA from 1 species
GCAAGGGCUACCAUCUGCAAGCCAGGAAGACAGCGCUCACCAGGAUCCAAAUCAGCCAGCACCUUGAUCUUGGACUUCCUAGCCUCCAGAACGCUACAGAAACAUCUGGGCUCAGGCAGCUGCCGGAUUGCUCUUUCAACCAUCGCACCACACAUUUACAGUUUUGUACCAAAUGGACAUCCACUUUCAAGUGAAGUCGGAGCAGGCACACAAUGUCUUUGGCCAGUACUGCCAGCAUGGUGUUCUGCUCCUGGAGAUGUUGCCAUCGAUUUAUUAAGCUUCCCUCCUAAUAUGGGAUCUACUUAUUUUACGUGGCCACUACCCCACCUUCUGAGAACGACCCAUAGUUUCUCUCGGAGGACUUGUCUUCACUGCUCCAGCUCCCAUCACCACCCCUCCAAUCCAUGUUAUGGACUGAAGGUUUG